UCCCUGAUGGCUCAGUUGGCUAGAGCGUCCGACUGUUAACACUGUUGCGAUCGGGAGGUCCACAGUUCGAACCUGUGUCGGGGAG
rnacentral:tRNA from 1 species